CCUCGCUGGUCCCUCCUCCCUCGCGGGGCUCGGCGGGCUUCCGGAGGUGAGCUGAGCGCGCGGGGAUGCGGUGAGGCGCCCGGAGAGCCCUCAGAGCGGAGGCUGCCUGGCCGGGGAUGAGGAGGAGGCGGCGGCGCGGGCGAGGAGGCGAGGGGCGCGGGAGAUGCGCUGCUCCGCGGCGGCGGCUCCCGGAGCAGCAUGUUGGCCGACCCUGCUAACCCGGAGCCGGGAAGGAGCCCCGCGGCUGGCUCCAACUCCCUGGCGGCGCCAGGCCCCGGCGCCUUGGCAACCACGGCCGCGGAGGGCGACGGCGAGGAGGAGGAGGAGGAAGCCGAGGGAGGCGGCCCUCGCCGCGGCUGCUCCCGCCUCGCCCUGGCGCUUGGAGCGGCCUCGGCCCUCGUCCUAGCCCUGUUCCUGGCCGAAGAAGCAGCAGGAGGAGGAGGAGGAGAGGCGGCUGCCGCCGCGGCCUGGCUUCCGCUUCGCUUCGCCCUCUACCUGCUCAGCGGCGCCGGAGCCUUUCUCCUCGGCGCCCUCCUGGCCCUGGGCCUCCGCAGCCGGCGGCGACCCCGGCCCACACACGAUUUCCUCGCCGCCUGGAAGCGCCGCCACCCAGGAAGGGAACGGAGCGCUUCUCCCUUAUUACAUGCGGCGGAGAAUCUUUUACUUGGAAACGCACAUGAAAUUGUCCAGUCAAGGAGAGUGGUGAUUUCUCAUAACAUGGAUAAAGCUCUGAAAGAAGUGUUUGACUAUAGCUACAGAGAUUACAUUUUGUCUUGGUAUGGCCACCUCAGCCGAGAUGAGGGACAGCUGUAUCACCUGCUAUCUGAAGACUUCUGGGAAGUUGCCAAGCAGCUGCGACAAAGGCUCAGUCACAUCGAUGUAGUUAAAGUUGUCUGCAAUGAUGUAGUGAAAGCUUUGUUCACCCACUUCUGUGACCUUAAAGCAGCCAAUUCCAGGCUGGAAGAGCAGCCACGACCAUUUUUACUGCACCCUUGUUUGACGAAUUCAGAUGAAGAAGCAAGAUUCCUGCAAGCAUGUUCUCAGAUUCUGGUGUAUUGUUUUCUGCCCUCAAAGGAUGCCCGCUCUCAAAGCUUGCGGAUAGUCCUUGCGGAAAUACUUGCAUCGAAAGUACUCAAACCAAUAGUUGAGCUGCUGAGUGAUCCCAACUACAUCAACCAAAUGCUGCUUGCCCAGAUGGAGUACAGAGAGCAGGUGAACGAACAUCACAAAAGGGCCUACACAUAUGCACCUUCUUAUGAAGAGUUCAUCAAGCUUAUCAGCGGCAACUCUGAUGUUGAGUUCCUCAAACAACUAAGGUACCAGAUUGUAGUGGAAAUAGUCCAGGCAACCACUAUCAGCAGCUUUCCACAGAUGAAGCGCCAAAAAGAAAGUAAAGGCAAAGAGACUGCUGCAAUGAAAGCUGACCAUCUUAGAGCAAGAAACAUGAAGAGGUAUAUUAAUCAACUAACUGUAGCGAAAAAGCAGUGCGAAAAGCGAAUACGGCUUUUAGGAGGUCCUAGUUAUGACCAGUCAGAAGAUGGCACAUUUGAAGAUAGUGACAGCCCUCAAACCCAGAAGAUUCUUCAGUUUGAGGAUAUUUUGUGCAACCCAUCCUACAGGCAGCACUUCCGAAUAUACAUGGAACGAAUGGAUAAAAGGGUUCUGAUCAGCUACUGGGAGUCUGUAGAAUACUUGAAGAACGCAAACAAGGCUGAAAUACCUCAACUAGUAAGUCAAAUCUAUCAGGAUUUUUUUGUGGACAGUAGAGAAAUCCCCGUGGAAAAAUCACUGUACAAAGACAUACAGCAAAGCCUUGUGGGCAACAAAGGCGUUGAAGUGUUUUACAAAAUUCAGACUGAUGUUUAUGAAACACUGAAGGACAGGUAUUACCCAUCAUUCAUUGUCAGUGAUUUAUAUGAGAGAUUGAUCAAAAAGGAAGAAGAACGGAGUUUGGUACAGAUGGCAUCAGAUGACAAAGAUGAAGUGAACCAAGUUUGUGAAGAAGCUCUUGAUGAAGGAAGCUCAGGAAUUAAUGAACAGGCCAGUUAUGCUGUAAAUAAGCUACGCCAAUUAAAUGACAAACUUGAAUAUAAGAGACAAGCUCUAAAUUCUCUUUGUAGUUCACCAAAACCUGACAAAAAGAUUGUUUCUAAAUUGAAGGACGAAAUCACUCUGAUGGAGAGAGAACACAGUGACCUUCAGUUACAUAUUGAAAGAACAGAUUGGUGGUGUGAGAAUUUUGGCAUGUGGAAAGCCUUUAUAAAUACUAGUGAGGUCAUAGAAGAAAAUGGCGAACAAGUGCCCUGCUACUCUGUCAUGGUGAGUUUACAAGAGAUCGGUGGCAUUGAAGCAAAGGAAUGGAUAGUUCUCCGAAAACUCAGCGAGUUCCAAAGCCUGCACCGGAAACUCAGUGAGUGCUUCCCAUCAUUAAAGAAAAAUCAGUUGCCUUCACUCAGCAAACUGCCCUUUAAAUCUGUAGACCAGAAAUUCUUGGAAAAGUCUAAGAACCAAUUAAAUAACUUCUUACAGAAAUUGCUUUCCGAUGAAAGGCUCUGUCAGAGUGAAGCUCUUUAUGCCUUUUUAAGCCCUUCUCCAGAACACCUCAAGGUCAUGGAUGUACAAGGAAAGAAAUCUUCUUUUUCACUUUCUUCUUUCUUGGAAAGGCUUCCUGGUGAUUUCUUUUCUCAUCAGGAGGAAGAAGUCGAAGAGGAUGACUAUCUUUCAGACUACGGAGAGGAUGUGGAUGGCAAACGGGAUGCUCUUGCUGAGCCUUGCUUCAUGCUGAUAGGCGAGAUUUUUGAGCUGCGAGGAAUGUUUAAGUGGGUGAGGAAGACACUGAUUGCACUAGUUCAAAUCACUUUUGGGAGAACAAUCAACAAGCAAAUUCGUGACACUGUAAAUUGGAUCUUCAGUGAAGCAAUGCUUGUGUACUAUAUCAACAUAUUCCGUGAUGUUUUUUGGCCAAAUGGAAAAUUGGCAUCCAGCACAAAACCCAAGAGUGAAGAACAAAGCCGGGAGAUAAAGCAGAAAGCACAGCAAAAAUUACUAGAAAACAUUCCAGAUUGCACUUUUUUUCAGAUACUCUCCAGAAUCUUGUGGGACAGCAAAACGCUCGCCAUGGUAUAAUCAAAAUAUUCAAUGCACUUCAAGAAACCAAGGCCAAUAAGCAUCUUCUUUAUGUAUUAUUGGAAUUGCUGCUAACUGAACUGUGCCCUGAGUUGCGAACUAAUUUAGAACAGUUUAAAGCAGCCCAGGUUUGAAUCUGCACAAGCAAAAUACUAGAGAAAUGUCUAUUAUUAAUAAUAGACAUGAAACUUAUUUCCCUCUUUUCCACAGAGGGCUGACUGAAGAUUCCUGACAAUUUGUAGAGUAUUUUUUUUUCCUUUGCAUUUUAUGUGAAGCAAACAAAGACUUGAAAAGAAUGGAUGAUGAUAGGGUAGAAUGCCAGCAAGUGUAGUUUCUGGCUUUUAUUUAAAUUGUUAUAUGAAUAACUCCGUUUAAGAUGCAGAUUGAAAUGUAAAUGUUAAUAUAACUUGUAAGAAUUAUAGAAUAUUUUAAACAUUUAUGAAAGACAUUUUUGCUUUAGUGGUAUAUCAAUGAAUGUUGUACAGUUAAUUUCCUUGCUGAGGAUUAUGAACAAUCCUCUAUUUUCUUGUGUAUUGAAGAGCCUUGUUGUGCAAUAUAUGUAAAGAUAUUGUGUAAAUUUUACUGUUUUUAUUUUUACCAAAGAUUUCCCAUAGUUUGGAGCCUUUGUAAGCAAUAAAUAAUAAAACCAGA